rnacentral:rRNA from 1 species
GACGAACGCUGGCGGCGUGCUUAACACAUGCAAGUCGAACGGAAAGGCCCUGCUUUUGUGGGGUGCUCGAGUGGCGAACGGGUGAGUAACACGUGAGUAACCUGCCCCUGACUUUGGGAUAACUUCAUGAAACUGGGGCUAAUACCGGAUAGGAGCUCCUGCUGCUGGGUGGGGGUUGGAAAGUUUCGGCGGUUGGGGAGGGACCGGCGGUGGAUUAGCUUGUUGGUAGGGUAGUGGCCUACCAAGGUGACGACCGAGAGCUGGUCUGAGAGGAUGAUCAGCCACACUGGGACUGAGACACGGCCCAGACUCCUACGGGAGGCAGCAGUGGGGAAUAUUGGACAAUGGGCGAAAGCCUGAUCCAGCAAUGCCGCGUGAGUGAUGAAGGGCUUAGGGUUGUAAAGCUCUUUUACCCGGGAUGAUAAUGACAGUACCGGGAGAAUAAGCUCCGGCUAACUCCGUG